GACGAACGCUGGCGGCGUGCUUAACACAUGCAAGUCGAACGAUGAAGCAAAGAAUCGAAGCUUCGGCAGAAAUUCAUUUCGGAUUAGUGGCAGACGGGUGAGUAACGCGUGAGCAACCUACCUCUUACAAAGGGAUAGCCUCGGGAAACCGGGAUUAAUACCAUAUAACAUUGCGACGAAGCAUUUCGAUGCAAUCAAAGCUACGGCGGUAAGAGAUGGGCUCGCGUCCCAUUAACCGGAUGGUGAGGUAACGGCUCACCAUAGUGACGAUGGGUAACCGGCCUGAGAGGGUGAACGGUCACACUGGAACUGAGACACGGUCCAGACUCCUACGGGAGGCAGCAGUGGGGAAUAUUGCACAAUGGAGGGAACUCUGAUGCAGCGACGCCGCGUGAGUGAUGAAGGAAUUCGUUUCGUAAAACUCUGUUCUAUGGGAAGAAAAGGACUGUACCAUAGGAGAAAGCGCCGGCUAAAUACGUG
rnacentral:rRNA from 1 species